UCCCUGGUGGACUAGUGGUUAGGCCACAGUCCACCAGAACCAGACCGCUGUGGCCUGGGUUCAAUUCCCAGCCAGGCAA